rnacentral:rRNA from 1 species
CCUACGGGGGACAGCAGUGGGGAAUAUUGGGCAAUGGGCGCAAGCCUGACCCAGCAACGCCGCGUGAAGGAAGAAGGCUUUCGGGUUGUAAACUUCUUUUCUAAGGGACGAAGAAAGUGACGGUACCUUAGGAAUAAGCUCCGGCUAACUACGUGCCAGCAGCCGCGGUAAUACGUAGGGAGCGAGCGUUAUCCGGAUUUACUGGGUGUAAAGGGCGUGUAGGUGGGAUGGCAAGUCAGGCGUGAAAACUAUGGGCUCAACCCAUAGCCUGCAUUUGAAACUGUCGUUCUUGAGUGAAGGAGAGGCAAGCGGAAUUCCGGGUGUAGCGGUGAAAUGCGUAGAUAUACGGAGGAACACCAGUGGCGAAGGCGGCUUGCUGGACAGUAACUGACGCUGAGGCGCGAAAGCGUGGGGAGCAAACAGGAUUAGAUACCCCGGUAGUC